rnacentral:rRNA from 1 species
CAGUCGCCGCGGUAAUACGUAGGUGGCAAGCGUUGUCCGGAAUUAUUGGGCGUAAAGGGCUCGCAGGCGGUUUCUUAAGUCUGAUGUGAAAGCCCCCGGCUCAACCGGGGAGGGUCAUUGGAAACUGGGAAACUUGAGUGCAGAAGAGGAGAGUGGAAUUCCACGUGUAGCGGUGAGAUGCGUAGAGAUGUGGAGGAACACCAGUGGCGAAGGCGACUCUCUGGUCUGUAACUGACGCUGAGGAGCGAAAGCGUGGGGAGCGAACAGGAUUAGAUACCCCCGUAGUCCCUGUCUCUUAUAC